rnacentral:rRNA from 1 species
GAUGAACGCUGGCGGCGUGCCUAAUACAUGCAAGUCGAGCGAACGGACGAGAAGCUUGCUUCUCUGAUGUUAGCGGCGGACGGGUGAGUAACACGUGGAUAACCUACCUAUAAGACUGGGAUAACUUCGGGAAACCGGAGCUAAUACCGGAUAAUAUUUUGAACCGCAUGGUUCAAAAGUGAAAGACGGUCUUGCUGUCACUUAUAGAUGGAUCCGCGCUGCAUUAGCUAGUUGGUAAGGUAACGGCUUACCAAGGCAACGAUGCAUAGCCGACCUGAGAGGGUGAUCGGCCACACUGGAACUGAGACACGGGCCAGACUCCUACGGGAGGCAGCAGUAGGGAAUCUUCCGCAAUGGGCGAAAGCCUGGCGGAGCAACGCCGCGUGAGUGAUGAAGGUCUUCGGAUCGUAAAACUCUGUUAUUAGGGAAGAACAUAUGUGUAAGUAACUGUGCACAUCUUGACGGUACCUAAUCAGAAAGCCACGGCUAACUACGU